rnacentral:rRNA from 1 species
UACGAAGGGUGCAAACGUUGCUCGGAAUUACUGGGCGUAAAGCGCACGUAGGCGGCUGUUCAAGUCGGGGGUGAAAGCCUGUGGCUCAACCACAGAAUUGCCUUCGAUACUGGACGGCUCGAGACCGGAAGAGGUCAGUGGAACUGCGAGUGUAGAGGUGAAAUUCGUAGAUAUUCGCAAGAACACCAGUGGCGAAGGCGGCUGACUGGUCCGGUUCUGACGCUGAGGCGCGAAAGCGUGGGGAGCAAACAGG